GACGAACGCUGGCGGCGUGCCUAACACAUGCAAGUCGAGCGGAGUUAAUUGAAAGCUUGCUUUUGGUUAACUUAGCGGCGGACGGGUGAGUAACGCGUGGGCAACCUGCCUAUCACAGGGGGAUAACACAGGGAAACUUGUGCUAAUACCGCAUAAUACAGCGAGAAAGCAUUUUCUUGUUGUCAAAGGAGCAAUCCGGUGAUAGAUGGGCCCGCGUCCAAUUAGCUAGUUGGUGAUGUAACGGACCACCAAGGCGACGAUUGGUAGCCGAACUGAGGGGUUGAUCGGCCACAUUGGGACUGAGACACGGCCCAGACUCCUACGGGAGGCAGCAGUGGGGAAUAUUGCACAAUGGGGGAAACCCUGAUGCAGCAACGCCGCGUGAAGGAUGAAGGUUUUCGGAUUGUAAACUUCUUUAGUCAGGGACGAAUAAAUGACGGUACCUGAAGAAUAAGCCACGGCUAACUACGUGCCAGCAGCCGCCGUAA
rnacentral:rRNA from 1 species